GCCACCUCUGGAUAUAGUUAUCUUCGGGACUCUUUUCCUAUUAUUAGUUUAGUUGAAUACCUCGUUAUGUUGUCAAGGCUUGAUGAAAUGAUUAAUAUUGAGCAUUCAAAACGUAAGAAAAUUAGGUUGGGGAUCUUGUUCUGCGUUUCCAGCUGAAGAAGAGUAAAAAAAAAAUGAAGGGGCUUAGACAUCAUGGCCAUGUGAUCAGCUCCUGAGAUCUCUUCCACUUCGUCUGGUGGAUUCUUUUCAAUCAUGUCAAGGAUCAGGGGCGGAGCUAGCAUAUAUAGGGUUUGCCGGUUCGGCCGAACCAAUAAUUUUUAUCUAAAUUCUGUAUUUGUCUUAAAUAAUUCAUUGAAUAUAUAUAAUUAUUAAUUUAAAACCCAAUAACAUAAGCAAACUAGAAUCCCAAACCCACAACUUUCAAAUACUAUAAGGUGGGGUUGCAGAAGUUUGUCUACGCAUGAUAUAUACACAUUAACCUUAAUUAAGAAUGUCAGAUGUAAUGAA